rnacentral:lncRNA from 1 species
UGGACAUAAAAAUAUAUCAUAGGGAAAAUCCUAAUGACAAACAUAAACAUAAAACAUAGUUCUCUUCAAAUGAACAUAGGUAACGUAGCUGCACUUAAGACAUUGGUGCUGACAUGGUACAAACACGAGCUCUUGCUACUAAUUAAAGAAAGCUCAGUACACAAGAACACCAAUAGCAUAUACAAUUAUAGAGAAGCCAAAGCAACAUUAGAAUAGGAUGGCAUUGGAAAGCCAAAACCAGCAGCCAUUGAUGGCGAAGGGGCAAUGCUGCUUUCUUCAUCCAAGGUACCAUAGGCAGUAGCACUCGGUGCAUAAACCACUAAUGCCAACACAAGGGCUGCUGCAGCUGCAUGGUAACAAGCCUUCAUGGAAGCCACCGAGAUGAUAUGGCGAAAUUCUCUGCUAAUUAUAUCUUCCAAGAAGUGAAGACAAG